UGUAGCUGCCCGCCCAAGCCAAUCUAACAUUUGAACUACAUAAUUCAUUGUGACUGUUAAUAAGAGAAGUUUAUAGCAACUUAGCGCUAGUUUUCUGUACAGAACAAUAUAUACCUCUAUACGCUCUGUUGUAUGGCAAGCAGAAAAGUUAUUCCUGCUGUUAAAGUUCAUUUGUGUGUAAAGUAACAGCCAGCAGCUAUAAUAUAGCCAGCUAGGCACAGGACAUUACAGGGUUAAUUUGAGUACUCCAGCCACCUGACAGUCUAGUCCAAUCAGAACCCAGCCUCACUCUGAGAUCUUCUAGAAUCUAGCCAGACAUGCCAGCAGCCAUCUUAAAGACAGAAUCUUCAGAGAGCAUGCCAGAGUAAAGAAACUGCCCUUAAGAUCCUAUGAGGCGAAAAUAGUUCUACCACAUUCUACACAUUCUACACAUUCUACGCAUUCUACGCAUACUUACUGCACUUAUAUCGCACCAAUAUUGCUAAAAUUCAUCAUCUUUGUUCCUGAUUCCCUAUCCUGAUGAUGUUACCAAUAAAGAAAGUUAUUUUUGUACCAGUGGUAUGUUCUUAAAGUCUUUCAAGGAUCCGAGGACAGUUACAGUCAUAUAUGCUUCAGCUUUGAAACAACAUUAUACAUUAGGUAUUAUUCUUGGGAUUUCCUUUGUGCCAUCCUGCUAUGCAUUCUGGGGGGGGGGUUAUUAUACAUGGAACUGCCUCUGUUCCAUCCUACUAUCAAUUCUGAGGGGCAAAGCACUGCGUAUCUUGACAGCGCUAUAUAAAUAAAUGCUGCUGCUGCUGAUCUUAUGUGUAAUUGCCUUUCUGCAAUUACACAUAACUCUAGUUACGGCUCUUGGUGCCUCAUCUUCCAAGUAAAAUGACUGAUAAGUGAAUUUCAGAACACAUUUCAACUGAAAGAAUAAUAGGAUCAAUGGGGGGGGGGGGGUUGCCGGUUGCUCUGGUAUGUAGGGGAUGCUGAUACGGAGAAACAAUUGUGCAUUCUGUUUGAGCCCUGCACACAUGGAGACAUAAGAGUUUUCAGUUGACAUUGAGUCACUUUGGAUGCAAAGAAUCCUUAGUGGGCAAAUGCAUGAACAGGGCUCUUUAUUUUGCCAUGUUUUUGCUGGAGACCAAAUCAGGCCUAGUCAUGCAUUUGGCACUACAUUCUGCCAUAAUAGCUUUUGAAGGGGAAACAAAAUGUAUCAUACUUACCUUGAGUUUCCUUUCCUGGACAUACUCCAUGUUGGCACUCAAAGGGAUGAAAAAGACAAUGAAAAGUUGCUGAACUUUGCAAUAGUAAAUUGCUGCAAUAUUAUCCAGGAGACAGUUAGCGCCUAGUUUUCCUCCCAACUGUCAUAAAGCCUGCUAUGUCCAGGCGGGUGCUGAUCUUGUCAACCUCCAGGGCAAAGGGAGAAUUGCAUCAUACUUACCUUGCUUUUCCUUUCCUGGAUAUACUCCAUAUGGGAACUCACCGGGAUAUCCCCGCCCCCAAGCCCCAUCAGAAGGACCCUCACCAAAGUUUUGAAA